rnacentral:sRNA from 1 species
UGCAUCUGAGGCCAGUGAGGAUGAGAACCUCCGGGGGCAGGAGGUUCGACUCGAGCGAAGCGAGAGAACGUUGCGUCAGCAACGGCCCGUAGGGC